AGUGCUACUGCUCCAUAGUCCGUAGUUUUGCCAGAGGUCUCGGGGUGCUCUUAACCGAGUGUCCCGCGAUGCUGGCAGGUUUACUUUGAAAAAAUUAGAGUGCUCAAAGCAGGCUUUUACGCCUGAAUAUUCGUGCAUGGAAUAAUAGAAUAGGAAGUCGUUUCUAUUUUGUUGGUUUUCGGAAAUCGACUUAAUGAUUAAUAGGGACAGUCGGGGGCAUUCGUAUUCAAACGACAGAGGUGAAAUUCUUGGACCGUUUGAAGACAAACUACUGCGAAAGCAUUUGCCAAGAAUGUUUUCAUUAAUCAAGAACGA
rnacentral:rRNA from 1 species